UACAGAGGGUGCAAGCGUUAAUCGGAAUUACUGGGCGUAAAGCGUGCGUAGACGGUUGCGUAAGUCAGAUGUGAAAGCCCCGGGCUCAACCUGGGAAUUGCAUUUGAGACUGCGUAGCUAGGGUGCGGAAGAGGGAAGCGGAAUUUCCGGUGUAGCGGUGAAAUGCGCAGAUAUCAGGAGGAACACCGGUGGCGAAGGCGGGUCUCUGGGCAACAACUGACGCUGAGGAGCGAAAGCGUGGGGAGCGAACAGG
rnacentral:rRNA from 1 species